rnacentral:rRNA from 1 species
AUCUAUCCUAUACUGGGGGAUAGCCCGAUGAAAGUUGGAUUAAUACCGCAUAUAGCUAUAUAGUUGCAUGAUUAUGUAGUGAAAGAUUUAUUGGUAUAGGAGGAGUCUGCGGCACAUUAGCUAGUAGGUGAGGUAAAGGCUUACCUAGGCGACGAUGUGUAGCCGGUCUGAGAGGAUGAACGGCCACAAUGGAACUGAGACACGGUCCAUACUCCUACGGGAGGCAGCAGUGGGGAAUAUUGCACAAUGGGGGGAACCCUGAUGCAGCAACGCCGCGUGAGUGAAGAAGGUUUUCGGAUUGUAAAGCUCUGUUAGCAGGGAAGAGGAAGGACGGUACCUGCAGAGGAAGCCACGGCUAACUACGUGCCAGCAGCCGCGGUAAUACGUAGGUGGCAAGCGUUGUUCGGAAUAACUGGGCGUAAAGGAUGCGUAGGCGGUUAAACAAGUUAUAUGUUAAAUAUAUAGGCUUAACCUGUAGAAAGCAUAUAAAACUGUUUAACUAGAGUGCAGGAGAGGUAAGUGGAAUUCCUAGUGUAGCGGUGAAAUGCGUAGAGAUUAGGAAGAACACCAGUGGCGAAGGCGACUUACUGGACUGU